rnacentral:rRNA from 1 species
UGGGGGAUAUUGCACAAUGGGGGAAACCCUGAUGCAGCGACGCCGCGUGUAGGAAGACGGUCCUCUGGAUUGUAAACUACUGUCUUCGGGGACGAUAAUGACGGUACCCACAGGAGAAGCACCGGCUAACUUCGUGCCAGCAGCCGCGGUAAUACGAAGGGUGCUAGCGUUAUUCGGAAUCACUGGGCGUAAAGAGUGUGUAGGCGGUUAAAUAAGUUAGUUAUGAAAUCCCUGAGCUUAACUCAGGAACUAUAAUUAAAACUAUUUUACUAGAGUAUAGUAGGCGAUGGCGGAAUUCUUAGUGUAGGGGUGAAAUCCGUAGAUAUUAAGAGGAACACCGGUGGUGAAGACGGCUAUCUUGACUAUAACUGACGCUAAAACACGAAGGCAUGGGUAGCAAACA